UACGUAGGGGGCAAGCGUUGUUCGGAUUUACUGGGCGUAAAGCGCACGUAGGCGGUUUGUUAAGUCAGGGGUGAAAUCCCGGAGCUCAACUCCGGAACUGCCUUUGAUACUGGCAGCUAGAGUCCGGAAGAGGUAAGUGGAACUCCUAGUGUAGAGGUGGAAUUCGUAGAUAUUAGGAAGAACACCAGUGGCGAAGGCGGCUUACUGGUCCGGAACUGACGCUGAGGUGCGAAAGCGUGGAGAGCAAACAGG
rnacentral:rRNA from 1 species